GGGAUCGUGGUCUAGCUUGGUUAGGAUUCGGGCCUUGGGCGCCUGAGGUCGUCGGUUCAAAUCCGGCCGAUCCCA
rfam:Thaumarchaeota archaeon 13_1_20CM_2_38_5 13_1_20cm_2_scaffold_4051, whole genome shotgun sequence.